rnacentral:rRNA from 1 species
GACGAACGCUGGCGGCGUGCCUAAUACAUGCAAGUAGAACGCUGAAGGAGGAGCUUGCUUCUCUGGAUGAGUUGCGAACGGGUGAGUAACGCGUAGGUAACCUGCCUGGUAGCGGGGGAUAACUAUUGGAAACGAUAGCUAAUACCGCAUAAUAGUAGAUGUUGCAUGACAUUUGCUUAAAAGGUGCAAUUGCAUCACUACCAGAUGGACCUGCGUUGUAUUAGCUAGUUGGUGGGGUAACGGCUCACCAAGGCGACGAUACAUAGCCGACCUGAGAGGGUGAUCGGCCACACUGGGACUGAGACACGGCCCAGACUCCUACGGGAGGCAGCAGUCGGGAAUCUUCGGCAAUGGACGGAAGUCUGACCGAGCAACGCCGCGUGAGUGAAGAAGGUUUUCGGAUCGUAAAGCUCUGUUGUAAGAGAAGAACGAGUGUGAGAGUGGAAAGUUCACACUGUGACGGUAUCUUACCAGAAAGGGACGGCUAACUACGUG